CCCUUAGAUGUUCUGGGCCGCACGCGCGCUACACUGAUGAAUGCAACGAGCUCUACCCUUGACCGAAAGGCCCGGGUAAACUUGUGAAACUUCAUCGUGAUGGGGAUAGAUUAUUGCAAUUAUUAAUCUUCAACGAGGAAUUCCUAGUAAGCGCGAGUCAUCAGCUCGCGUUGAUUACGUCCCUGCCCUUUGUACACACCGCCCGUCGCUCCUACCGAUUGAAUGUUCCGAUGAAUACCAUGGACUGAGAGUAUGAAUGGGUUCGCCUAUUUCUGCUUCUCGGGAAGUGGAGUAAAUCUUAACAUUUAGAGGAAGGAGAAGUCGUAACA
rnacentral:rRNA from 1 species